GGUCUCCCAUUGAAUACCUAGCUCAUUCUUAUAAUCAAUCUCUAGCUAGGUCAUCUAUUGACCUCUUCAGAGUUUAGUAGCAACAGAUUGGCACUAAAAGAAGGAUUUGAACCUCCAGCCUUUUAGCUUUCUACAUAUUUUUACUUGCUUUGCAUCUUCCUAUUAUAGGCCGACAUUCAAUAUACAGCAACAAAGAUCCACCUCAAACCCCACCGAGCUGCAAUGAACUUAGAGCAACCCAAUCGAAGCCAAUCUUGGCCAAUCGAGAGGGAAGAAUAACCCAAAUAGGGAUCCCUAAUGCUUUUCAUACUAG
rnacentral:lncRNA from 1 species